rnacentral:rRNA from 1 species
CCUACGGGUGGCAGCAGUGAGGAAUAUUGGUCAAUGGGCGAGAGCCUGAACCAGCCAAGUAGCGUGAAGGAUGACUGCCCUACGGGUUGUAAACUUCUUUUAUAUGGGAAUAAAAUGAGCCACGUGUGCCUUUUUGUAUGUACUAUAUGAAUAAGGAUCGGCUAACUCCGUGCCAGCAGCCGCGGUAAUACGGAGGAUCCGAGCGUUAUCCGGAUUUAUUGGGUUUAAAGGGAGCGUAGAUGGGUUGUUAAGUCAGUUGUGAAAGUUUGCGGCUCAACCGUAAAAUUGCAAUUGAAACUGGCAGUCUUGAGUACAGUAGAGGUAGGCGGAAUUCGUGGUGUAGCGGUGAAAUGCUUAGAUAUCACGAAGAACUCCGAUUGCGAAGGCAGCUUACUGGACUGCAACUGACACUGAGGCUCGAAAGUGUGGGUAUCAAACAGGAUUAGAUACCCGUGUAGUC